GCCGGGAAAAAGACAGACGAACUAAAAACUGCAAAAAAAAAAGAAAAAAAAAAAAGUCAGACGCAGAUGUCACGUCCAUUGAGAGGAAUGAAUGAAGGGCAAGUAAAUUGUGCAUUGGCUGACACACUGCACUGAGCCGUGUGAGCAGCGUGUUAUGAUACGUGUUAGCGAAAU